rnacentral:rRNA from 1 species
CAUUCGAGUGGCGGACGGGUGAGUAACGCGUGGGUAACCUGCCUUACACAGGGGGAUAACACCUGGAAACAGGUGCUAAUACCGCAUAAGCGCACAGGGCCGCAUGGCCCGGUGUGAAAAACUCCGGUGGUGUAAGAUGGACCCGCGUCUGAUUAGCUUGUUGGCGGGGUAGGGGCCCACCAAGGCGACGAUCAGUAGCCGGCCUGGGAGGGUGGACGGCCACAUUGGGACUGAGACACGGCCCAAACUCCUACGGAAGGCAGCAG